GACGAACGCUGGCGGCGUGGAUUAGGCAUGCAAGUCGAACGGUAUCAUCCUUUCGGGGGUGAGAGAGUGGCGAACUGGUGAGUAACACGUAGGUUAUCUACCCUCAAGACGGGGGACAACCCAGGGAAACUUGGGCUAAUACCGGAUGUGAGCAACUUUAGUUGUUUGAAAGGUGGCGUAAGCUGUCGCUUGGGGAUGAGCCUGCGUCCUAUUAGUUAGUUGGUGAGGUAACGGCUCACCUAGGCAAUGAUAGGUAGGCGGCCUUAACGGGUGGUCGCCCACACUGGGAUUGAGAUACGGCCCAGACUCCUACGGGAGGCAGCAGUCGAGAAUAGUCUACAAUGGUCGGAAGACUGAUAGUGCGACGCCGCGUGAACGAUGAAUCCCUUCGGGGUGUAAAGUUCUUUUAUAUGUGAGCAGUGCUUCUUAUAUUAACAGUAUGGGGAGAGAGAUAUUAGCAUAUGAAUAAGCAACGGCUAACUCCGUG
rnacentral:rRNA from 1 species